GAUGAACGCUGGCGGCGUGCCUAAUACAUGCAAGUCGAGCGAACAGACGAGGAUCUUGCUCCUCUGACGUUAGCGGCGGACGGGUGAGUAACACGUGGAUAACCUACCUAUAAGACUUGGAUAACUUCGGGAAACCGGAGCUAAUACCGGAUAAUAUCUUGAACCGCAUGGUUCAAUAGUGAAAGACGGUUUUGCUGUCACUUAUCGAUGGAUCCGCGCCGCAUUAGCUAGUUGGUAAGGUAACGGCUUACCAAGGCAACGAUGCGUAGCCGACCUGAGAGGGUGAUCGGCCACACUGGAACUGAGACACGGUCCAGACUCCUACGGGAGGCAGCAGUAGGGAAUCUUACGCAAUGGGCGAAAGCCUGACGGAGCAACGCCGCGUGAGUGAUGAAGGUCUUCGGAUCGUAAAACUCUGUUAUUAGGGAAGAACAAAUGUGUAAGUAACUAUGCACGUCUUGACGGUACCUAAUCAGAAAGCCACGGCUAACUACGUG
rnacentral:rRNA from 1 species